CCUACGGGGCGCUGCAGUGAGGAAUAUUGGUCAAUGGGCGCGAGUCUGAACCAGCCAAGUAGCGUGAAGGAUGACUGCCCUACGGGUUGUAAACUUCUUUUAUAUAGGAAUAAAGUUAGGCACGUGUGCCUUUUUGUAUGUACUUUAUGAAUAAGGAUCGGCUAACUCCGUGCCAGCAGCCGCGGUAAUACGGAGGAUCCGAGCGUUAUCCGGAUUUAUUGGGUUUAAAGGGAGCGUAGAUGGGUUGUUAAGUCAGUUGUGAAAGUUUGCGGCUCAACCGUAAAAUUGCAAUUGAUACUGGGAGUCUUGAGUACAGUGGAGGUAGGCGGAAUGCGUGGUGUAGCGGUGAAAUGCUUAGAUAUCACGAAGAACUCCGAUUGCGAAGGCAGCUUACUAAACUGUAACUGACACUGAUGCUCGAAAGUGUGGGUAUCAAACAGGAUUAGAUACCCGAGUAGUC
rnacentral:rRNA from 1 species